AUUGAACGCUGGCGGCAGGCCUAACACAUGCAAGUCGAGCGGAUGAAGGGAGCUUGCUCCUGGAUUCAGCGGCGGACGGGUGAGUAAUGCCUAGGAAUCUGCCUUGUAGUGGGGGAUAACGUCCGGAAACGGGCGCUAAUACCGCAUACGUCCUGAGGGAGAAAGUGGGGGAUCUUCGGACCUCACGCUAUCAGAUGAGCCUAGGUCGGAUUAGCUAGUUGGUGGGGUAAAGGCCUACCAAGGCGACGAUCCGUAACUGGUCUGAGAGGAUGAUCAGACACACUGGAACUGAGACACGGUCCAGACUCCUACGGGGGGCAGCAGUGGGGAAUAUUGGACAAUGGGCGAAAGCCUGAUCCAGCCAUGCCGCGUGUGUGAAGAAGGUCUUCGGAUUGUAAAGCACUUUAAGUUGGGAGGAAGGGCAGUAAGUUAAUACCUUGCUGUUUUGACGUUACCAACAGAAUAAGCACCGGCUAACUUCGUG
rnacentral:rRNA from 1 species